rnacentral:tRNA from 1 species
GCGAAUAUGGUGGAAAUGGUAGACACGCUGGAUUUAGGUUCCAGUUCUUCUGGAUUGUGGGUUCAAGUCCCUCUAUUCGUA